rnacentral:rRNA from 1 species
AGUGAACGCUGGCGGCAGGCCUAACACAUGCAAGUCGAACGGCAGCACAAGAGAGCUUGCUCUCUGGGUGGCGAGUGGCGGACGGGUGAGGAAUGCAUCGGAAUCUGCCCAUUUGUGGGGGAUAACCUCGGGAAACCGGGACUAAUACCGCAUACGACCUACGGGUGAAAGCAGGGGAUCUUCGGACCUUGCGCAGAUGGAUGAGCCGAUGCCGGAUUAGCUAGUUGGAGGGGUAAAGGCCCACCAAGGCGACGAUCCGUAGCUGGUCUGAGAGGAUGAUCGGCCACACUGGGACUGAGACACGGCCCAGACUCCUACGGGAGGCAGCAGUGGGGAAUAUUGGACAAUGGGCGCAAGCCUGAUCCAGCCAUGCCGCGUGUGUGAAGAAGGCCUUCGGGUUGUAAAGCACUUUUGUUGGGAAAGAAAAGCAGCCGGUUAAUACCCGGUUGUCAUGACGGUACCCAAAGAAUAAGCACCGGCUAACUUCGUG